GGUUUUGGUGAUGGGUUUCUGUCUUGGGUUGGUUUACUGUAUAAUGGUGCACAGUGUUUGGUGGAGACGGGGGCUGG